rnacentral:misc_RNA from 1 species
GUAGGUGAACCUGCGGAAGGAUCAUUAACACUUUUUCAUUUUUGGAAUAUCUUCUAUUUUGGAGAUGUUCCAAAGAUAUCCAACCCCACUUGAAUGAAUUUUUUUUCUAUUCUGAUUUCUGGUUCGUAGAUUAUUUUCGGUAAAACGAAAAUGGUUUAUGUCCCCAGAAUUAUCACUUUUUCAACCCCAAUCUACCAAACAUGCGAUAGACUGAUAUAAUAUUUAAUCAUAAAUAACAAAAAAUGGUUAAAACAACUCUUAGCAACGGAUAUCUUGGCUCUC